rnacentral:rRNA from 1 species
UAGGGAAUCUUCCACAAUGGACGCAAGUCUGAUGGAGCAACGCCGCGUGAGUGAAGAAGGCUUUCGGGUCGUAAAACUCUGUUAUUGAAGAAGAACGUGUGUGACAGUAACUGGUCAUGCAGUGACGGUAUUCAAUCAGAAAGUCACGGCUAACUACGUGCCAGCAGCCGCGGUAAUACGUAGGUGGCAAGCGUUGUCCGGAUUUAUUGGGCGUAAAGCGAGUGCAGGCGGUCUUUUAAGUCUGAUGUGAAAGCCUUCGGCUUAACCGAAGAAGGGCAUCGGAAACUGGGAGACUUGAGUGCAGAAGAGGAGAGUGGAACUCCAUGUGUAGCGGUGAAAUGCGUAGAUAUAUGGAAGAACACCAGUGGCGAAGGCGGCUCUCUGGUCUGUAACUGACGCUGAGGCUCGAAAGCGUGGGUAGCAAACAGGAUUAGAUACCCUGGCAGUCCACGCCGUAAACGAUGAAUACUAAGUGUUGGAGGGUUUCCGCCCUUCAGUGCUGCAGCUAACGCAUUAAGUAUUCCGCCUGGGGAGUACGACCGCAAGGUUGAAAC